rnacentral:lncRNA from 1 species
AUCCAAUGAAAUGUAGAUGAUGAAAAACAACAAACAAACAGUGCCUUAAUUUAUUUUGUUGUUACUCAUUUGUGUAAGAAUUAUACAUUUUCUUGAUAAAAGAAUUAUCUAAUGUCUUUCCUACACAUAUUUAAUGUUGUUGGUUUAGACUUUUGUCUUUUGCUGGACAACUAGAAUGCAUUUCCAUCCAUGUAGACUACAUGCUCUGUCAUAGGUAAUGAUCCUUACAACUAAUCAUCCC